AGCCGUGUGGUGAGCACAAAGCGAACUAUUCUUUCGCCUUUUACUAAAGAAUACCGUGUGCUCUCCACUUCAAACGGCAUACACCUAUUUUUGGAGGAGUUACUUCUAUUGAAGUUU
rnacentral:snRNA from 1 species